rnacentral:rRNA from 1 species
AGUGAACGCUGGCGGUAGGCCUAACACAUGCAAGUCGAACGGCAGCACAGGAGAGCUUGCUCUCUGGGUGGCGAGUGGCGGACGGGUGAGGAAUACAUCGGAAUCUACUCUGUCGUGGGGGAUAACGUAGGGAAACUUACGCUAAUACCGCAUACGACCUACGGGUAAAAGCAGGGGACCUUCGGGCCUUGCGCGAUUGAAUGAGCCGAUGUCGGAUUAGCUAGUUGGCGGGGUAAAGGCCCACCAAGGCGACGAUCCGUAGCUGGUCUGAGAGGAUGAUCAGCCACACUGGAACUGAGACGCGGUCCAGACUCCUACGGGAGGCAGCAGUGGGGAAUAUUGGACAAUGGGCGCAAGCCUGAUCCAGCCAUACCGCGUGGGUGAAGAAGGCCUUCGGGUUGUAAAGCCCUUUUGUUGGGAAAGAAAUCCAGCUGGCUAAUACCCGGUUGGGAUGACGGUACCCAAAGAAUAAGCACCGGCUAACUUCGUGCCAGCAGCCGCAGUAA